rfam:Haemonchus contortus, ISE/inbred ISE, WGS project CAVP01000000 data, contig: Hcontortus_9559
GGCCCAAAUUCAAAGAAGAGUAGAUUAGUAUGGUCAGUUUAUCCUACUAAUCUACUCUGCUUCAAGUUUGUGCCC